AUACGUAGGGUGCGAGCGUUGUCCGGAAUUACUGGGCGUAAAGAGCUCGUAGGUGGUUUGUCGCGUCGUCUGUGAAAUUCCGGGGCUUAACUCCGGGCGUGCAGGCGAUACGGGCAUAACUUGAGUACUGUAGGGGAGACUGGAAUUCCUGGUGUAGCGGUGAAAUGCGCAGAUAUCAGGAGGAACACCGGUGGCGAAGGCGGGUCUCUGGGCAGUAACUGACGCUGAGGAGCGAAAGCAUGUGUAGCGAAAAGGAUUAGAUCCCCUGGUAGUCCAUGCCGUAAACGGUGGGCGCUAGGUGUAGGGGUCUUCCACGACUUCUGUGCCGUAGCUAACGCAUUAAGCGCCCCGCCUGGGGAGUACGGCCGCAAGGCUAAAACUCAAAGGAAUUGACGGGG
rnacentral:rRNA from 1 species